GAUGAAGAACGUAGCGAAAUGCGAUAAGUAAUGUGAAUUGCAGAAUUCCGUGAAUCAUCGAAUCUUUGAACGCACAUUGCGCCCCCUGGUAUUCCGGGGGGCAUGCCUGUCCGAGCGUCAUUGCUGCCCUCAAGCACGGCUUGUGUGUUGGGCCCCCGUCCCCGGUUUCCCCCGGGGACGGGCCCGAAAGGCAGCGGCGGCACCGCGUCCGGUCCUCGAGCGUAUGGGGCUUUGUCACCCGCUCUGUAGGCCCGGCCGGCGCCAGCCGACACCCAACUUUAUUUCUAAGGUUGACCUCGGAUCAGGUAGGGAUACCCGCUGAACUUAAGCAUAUCAAUAAGCGGAGGA
rnacentral:misc_RNA from 1 species